rnacentral:sRNA from 1 species
UUUUUGGAAAAUAUUAUUUUUUGAAAAAAAAUUUUUUUUGGCGGCAAAAUUUUUUUUCAGAA